CACACACUGGUACACACACUUACGCUGGUAUACACACUCACAGUUACAUUGGUACACACACACACUUACACUGGUAACCACACUGGUACACACACACACACACACACACUGGUUUUUUUUUCACUUGGUUUCACCAAGAUACAAUAUUGCCCCACAGUCAAGUUGGUGGAAUUGUAUUCCAGUACAGCAUCGGUACAGUACAUCCUCCCAAUCACAUGUAAGAACACAUAACAGCAACACACAGUAAGUCCAAGUUACGCUUCUCUUGAAGUGUUUCACUUCAAGAGAAAUGGAACUGGACAGCUAGCAUUCAUAUGGGGAUACACCUCUAAAAAACAAAGAAAACACAUUCCAGCAUGCUGAAGGUUCAGUUACGUCCUGAUGCCAGUCCAAAAAGCGUGACAGAAAAA